UAUGGAAUCUUCGGCAAUGGACGAAAGUCUGACCGAGCAACGCCGCGUGAGUGAAGAAGGUUUUCGGAUCGUAAAACUCUGUUGUUAGAGAAGAACAAGGACGUUAGUAACUGAACGUCCCCUGACGGUAUCUAACCAGAAAGCCACGGCUAACUACGUGCCAGCAGCCGCGGUAAUACGUAGGUGGCAAGCGUUGUCCGGAUUUAUUGGGCGUAAAGCGAGCGCAGGCGGUUUCUUAAGUCUGAUGUGAAAGACCCCGGCUCAACCAGGGAGGGUCAUUGGAAACUGGGAGACUUGAGUGCAGAAGAGGAGAGUGGAAUUCCAUGUGUAGCGGUGAAAUGCGUAGAUAUAUGGAGGAACACCAGUGGCGAAGGCGGCUCUCUGGUCUGUAACUGACGCUGAGACUCGAAAGCGUGGGGAGCAAACAGG
rnacentral:rRNA from 1 species